AUCAGUAAGCGGAGGAAAAGAAACUAACAAGGAUUCCCUCAGUAGCGGCGAGCGAACAGGGAUCAGUCCAGCACCGAACCCCGCGCUCCGAAAGGGCGCCGGGGAAUGUGGUGUUCGGGAGGACCGUGCGCGUCUGUCCGGUAUUGAUCGCCCAAGUCUCCAUGAACGGGGCUAUCAACCCACAGAGGGUGUCAGGCCCGUAGGCUGGCGAGCCGAGACCGUGUACCGGGUCCCUUCCCAAGAGUCGGGUUGCUUGAGCGUGCAGCCCUAAGCGGGAGGUAAACUCCUUCUAAGGCUAAAUAUCGCCACGAGACCGAUAGCGAACAAGUACCGCGAGGGAAAGUUGAAAAGAACUUUGAAGAGAGAGUUCAACAGUGCGUGAAACCGUUCAGGGGGUUAAACGGGUGAGCCCUCGAAGGUCGAAGGGUCCCUCCUCCCGUCGCGCGCUCGCACGCGCUCUGCUCCGGCGAUCCGUAAAAAAGACGCCCGGCAGGGGAGAGUCGGCGAGCGCCGGCCGCAAGUGAGGGGCCUCUUGUAGGACUCCGCAACCGGCUGGGUCGUCGGCAGAAGGGGGCGUCGGUAACGAGGUCGCGCGGGGGUUCGCUCCCGCGGCCGAGUCUGGCGUCACACCGGUCGAUCGAUCCCGGCCGUGUCCUGUAUCUCGCUGUCGGGAAACUUCGUUCCCAGUCAGAGAGCCAGUAGCGGAGAGUAAAAAGUCGGGUCUCACCCGACCCGUCUUGAAACACGGACCAAGGAGUCUAACAUGUGCGCGAGUCGUCGAGUCGAUAGCGAAACUCGCGAGGCGCAAUGAAAGUAAAGUGUCCCCGACGAGGGUGUUGCACGAGGGGAGAUCCCGUCUCUAUACAAACCGGAGCGGGCGCAUCCCGCGGGCGUUCGAAGCCGCGACUCUAGUCGGCCGAACGAACCCGGAGCGCACACGUUGGGACCCGAAAGAUGGUGACCUAUGCCUGACCAGGACGAAGCCAGGGGAAACCCUGGUGGAGGUCCGCAGCGAUUCUGACGUGCAAAUCGAUCGUCGGAGUUGGGUAUAGGGGCGAAAGACUAAUCGAACCAUCUAGUAGCUGU
rnacentral:rRNA from 1 species